GCCCUCGUCGAUGAAUGGCCACAUCGUUCAUUCUUAUCCAUUAAAAUUUCAGGGUUCAAAUGGAAAUGGUAGGCGGAGGUUCGAAUCCUCAGGAGGGCA